CAGAAAUAGAGCAGGGAAAGGGAGUGGGUAUUUCGGUCCCCACUGAUUUGUAAUCCUUUGCAGGUAGCUUGGGAUAUUUUUACCCCUUUCUAACUCUUCUAUAUGUGAGGCCUCUGGUUUAUUAAUGACACUAUCCAUGUUUGGAUUCUUAACUGGCCUCUUUUUCUACCCUAUAGAAGCAGCAGAGGAGAGGGACAGAGCAGGAAUCUCAGGGUGCCAGGGCAAUUGAAGGAUUGUCUUUAAAUACACAUACACAUAUUCUCCAAUGCUUUGCACUUGGCCAAAAAGGUCAUGGAAGAGGUAGGAAAAUAGAGGAGAGACUCUCUUGUCUGCUUCCUCUCCAGUCCAAAAUACCAACACUUUCCAUCCAAGAUAAGUCUUUCCUUUUUAAGAUGCUCCCUUUCCAGGGAAGGUAAAGGAGGAGGAAGAGAUGGGAAAGGAAGGGUACUGAUGGUAUCUUUGCAGUUUCUUAGUGCAGCUCUUCCACAGGUCUUCGAACUGGACCAAGGUGGACACUUGCUGGAAGAACAGCACCACAUUGUUCUGGACAUGUAAACUGUUUUUUGAAGACAUACAUAUCCUCUACUGGGCCAGGGUGAGAGCAGUGAAUGGAGUCAAUGUGUCUAAAUGGGUCACCUCCAAUGAACUGCAGCCAUACAGAGACACAAUCGUGGGUCCCCUUAAACUGAUGCUGUGGUCACAAGAUCAGAAUCUUACUGUAGAUAUAUCCAUACCACUUACUCCCUAUCAAAGGAAAAAUGGCUCCUAUAAGUCAGUCCAGAAGGUGCUGUCAAAAUUGCGGUUUGUUCUCAGACUUUAUGAAGACGGUGUUUUCCUCCUCCAAGUGAUCUGUAAGCCAAAGGGCAAGAAAAUUCAGCACACAUUUCAGUACUUGAAACCAAAUACCAAGUACUGCAUCAGAGCCAGAGAAGAGGAUCCAGCCAAAAGCAAAGAGGCAGUACAAUGUACCAAGACAAAACUCAGUCCACGAAAUUUCCUCUGGGACCUGGUUGUUGCUCUGAUCGUCUUCACAGUGCUUCUUCUGCUGGGUGCAGCUGGCCUGUACUUCCUCAAACUCUAUGUGUAUCCAAGCAUCUCAGAAAUACCCUUCCCCAGAAUUCUGGCUGUUCUGAAUGAAGAACUGAACAUGAAGGUCUGCACUGAGGCAUCUGCCUAUGACCUUGAAGGUGACUCUUUCUCUCUGCUUUCAGUGACUGGGCUUUCCUCCAGAAGUCACUUAACAAUAGAGCAGAAAACCCCCCAAACCCUGCUGCUUCCAAGAGGCUACCAUGCCCAGAAAGUGGAUGGGUACUGUGCCAAUGGGUUUGACCUUGUCUACCAUGAUAGUAAGACUAUUUGUAGUUCGUCCAAUCAGCUGAGCUUUGCUGGUGCUGUAGACUCUGAAGCCUCUUUAUCAUCAGCAGGACUGGUAAAGAGUAGAGAUUCAAGUGAAGGACAGUACAUGUCUGCUUUGAAGACCCAGCUUCCUGACGACUUCCUGGUGUCUCCUAAGAAGCCAUCUCCAGUGUCCACAGGUCUGGUCCAGGAUGGUUAUACAAGUGACAGUCAUUACCAAACUGGUUCAGGGACCCCGACUCCUUUGAACCUCCAGAGUUAUUCCAAACAUCCGUCUCUGUUGUCAGAAAGCAUCAACAGUAUCCCAUCACAUCAGUCAAGUGCAACCUUCUGCUCUAAGGAUCUUAAAAAUAAGAUUAGUGGCAUGAGGACAGAGUGGCCACCUCUUUGCUGGGGAGAUAUUCCUCUCAGCUCUGUGAAACUGCAGGCCAGUGGGAAGAUUGGAGGCCACUUUGUUCCAUCUCUUGGGGAUUUGUGUAAAUACAGCCCUCCAACAAUGAAGGACUACAGUGUGCAAAAAGCAAGCCUGGGUCAGAGUGCCAAAGCGUGCCAGGAGCACCUGCCUCUGAGUCAAGAGCAGUGUGAUCUCUUGGAGCAUACAGACUGCAGUAAUGAUGCUAGUAGUGACUUAUCGCCAGAGGCUAACAGCACUACAAAAAAGGCUUCCUUUGGCUAUGAGUUACACCCUCAAAACUGGUCCUGUACCCAAUGAUGAUGAAUCUGGGGAGAAGACACCAGGGUAUAGGGAGAUUUCUCACAUGUUUAUUCACAUCAAGUAGGCUUGACUCUCAUCUUGUAUUAUGGGGUAAAACUGUGAAAAGCUUUGCACAGUGGGAUCAGACUCUGGAAUCAGGUCCAAACCAAAACCCAGCUCCCAGUCUAGAAAUCUGCAUUGCCCAAGUUGGAUUUUCACUGCUGGGAUGAUGCUACUUGGGUAGUUAUCCAACAGAGAUAAAUUUGAGCUGUAAAUUACUUAGGUGUGUGAUUUUGGUCCCAGGCCACCUGCAGUUGAAAUCCAGUCAGGCUUAUGGUUUUUUCUGAAGUUUCAAGUGAGUUUUUGAGUCCAUCUGAACCUGAGAUAUAUAUAUAUAAAAAUAUAUAUGGUGAACAGAACAGAAGGGAAAAGCUCACAGAAUAACUGCAUUUCUCAUACAGUUUUUGUGACAGAUAUGCUAGAUGUGUCCAGAUGAGUUCAACUAUUUGAAGCACAACAAACCAUAAGUAACAAAUUUGCAGCAUGGCACCCAAAUUUGAUACUGGAAAUUCUUGGCAUCAAAAAAAACAAAAAACCACUGCAAAAACCCCCACAAACCUGGCAUGGCUCAUGCUCCAGGAGUGUGCUCUAGAGCAGUGCUUCUCAAAGUGGUGGUCCGCGGACUGGUGCCAGUCCACAAGCCACCGGUUGCCAGUCCAGGACAAGUUGCCAGGAAAGAAAGAAAUAUAUUUUCAGAAGCAUAACAUUGAUAUGUCAUAGCGUCACAGUUCGUACAUUCCAGUGCCCCAGGUGACAUCACAUCGUGCAAGGUGAGGAAAGAGAAAGAAACAGCCGGUCGCGCAUUUGUGUAGCGCUGUUGCAUGUAGUUGCUGCCACUGGUUGAACCGGGCACCAGUCCCUGGCCCACUGGAAAAAAAAUUGCUGGUCUGCCAUAUCAGAUAGUUUGAGAAGCACUGCUCUAGAGCAACUGGAGGCUGGGUCCUCCAGGGAGACAUUCUGGCUGACAGCCAGAGCGUCUCCACUGCUUUAGGUGUCCACCAGCUCCUUCAGCAUGCCAGGAGCUGGAAGGAGUGGGGAAACAGCAGGAAUGCAGAAACAGCUACAGGGGCAUUUUAUCCUGCAGCAAGCCUCAUGUACAGGGAUGUGCACAGAAGCAAAAAGCAGCAGCACAAAUCUGUGCUGCAGCAAAUGCAUGUCUAUGCAUGUGGGGACAUGCCCACUCAGCAGGGAAUGAAUGUUUUCUGACAUAUCUGGUGAGAUACUAGAAACAGUGCAUAUAUUAUGUUGUAAAUAUCCAUUUUAUAACAGUAAUUUAUUAUGGAAAAAUAUCUUUAAUGGCCUGAUAUUUCUGUGAUGUUGGAUGUCUCCAGCUCUGCAAAUAUGAAAUAAAACUGUAAUAUGCUGAAACA
ensembl:lncRNA interleukin-20 receptor subunit alpha-like